rnacentral:rRNA from 1 species
GGCUAACGCUGGCGGCGUGUCUUAGCCAUGCAAGUCGAGCGGACUUAUGGGGUAACUUAUAAGUCAGCGGCGGACGGCGGAGUAACACGUAGCUAACCUACCCUCUGGACGGGGAUAACCUACCGAAAGGUGGGCUAAUACCCGAUGUAGUCAUCCUGUAUAGGGGUGAUGAAAGGUGGGCUUCUGUUUACAAGCUCAUGCUGGAGGAGGGGGCUGCGGCCUAUCAGGUAGUUGGUAGGGUAAUAGCCUACCAAGCCGAUGACGGGUAGCCGGCCUGAGAGGGUGACCGGCCCGAGGGGCACUGAGAUACGGGUCCCACUCCUACGGGAGGCAGCAGUAGGGAAUUUUCCGCAAUGGGCGAAAGCCUGACGGAGCAACGCCGCGUGAAGGAAGAAGGUCUUCGGAUCGUAAACUUUUGUCUUCAGGGACGAUAAUGACGGUACCUGAGAAGGAAGCCACGGCUAACUACGUG